GGUAGUCUCUGCUAGUUGGGGGGCUGAUACUGAUUAGUCACAUGAGUCUGGGAGUUCUAAGGUAUAAUAGGGCUAAAGCUACACUACAGUUUCAGUCUGGGAAAGAAAGAAAGAAAGAAAGAAAGAAAGAAAGAAAGAAAGAAAGAAAGAAAGAAAGAAAGAAAGAAAGAAAGAAAGAAAGAAAGAAAGAAAGAAAGAAAGAAAGAAAGAAAGAAAGAAAGAAAGAAAGAAAGAAAGAAAGAAAGAAAGAAAGAAAGAAAGGAAUGAUGGUUAUGAAUGGAAGGAA
rnacentral:lncRNA from 1 species